AACAAUAAAUAGUUCGGCGAGGCCGCGAGGGAAACAUCCGUGAAAGUAACCUACUUCAGCGACAUCGGAAAAAAUUUAAUGGGAGAGAAAUGGAGAAUGUAAUAACAGAUACGAUAGAGAAUUAGGGRCCUUUAUAAUUGUGAAAAUAAAAAUUCAGAUUAGUAUACAAAAGACAAUAAUGGGGAUUGUGGGGAUUAUAAUCCCAAUAGCUGUAAUAACAGUAUAAACACAGAGAUAAUUUAGUAGAGAUAUUUCUUAUUUUAGAGAUAGGAAAAACUUGAACAAAAGUAGAAGACAAUAGUAUCAUUACUUGGAACUUUGUCAUACUUAUGACAAUACACUUUAAUAAAAAGAGGAUGUCCGCACGAUAUUUGUUUUCUCUCAGUAACGAAUCGCAUAAUUAUUAAUUAAUAGUACUGUAUAAUUAAAUCAAUGGUAGUUGUAACCAGUCAGUGCAUAGUAAUAAGUAAUAUAUCGUUGUGUCGUUAUCAACGAUAAGCCAUUUCUAAGGAAAAAUCAAAAAAUAGACGAAAACGACGAACAUAUGCAAGUCAACCAUGGCCCAUGAGCGAUGGGCAACGCCGUCACAGGUAGCAACAAUAAAUUCAAGACGUCGGUACACGUCAGGUAUUUCAUGUUCCACAAUAUUAUUCGUUCAGAUUGUUCAGAAAUAACCCGCGCAGACAGUCGAAAUUAAUCGCAACCACGAGUUAUAUUAUUGAAAAUACGAACUAUUCACAGUACAUCAUGUCACUAUCAUCAUGUUCUACGAAAUAUCAUCAAUAACAUUUAGUCGGUCGGGGAUCGAGAUAAAAAGAAUUUUCAAUUUAAUAUUAAAUAAUCUGAACGUUAGCAGAGRUAUUGUCGUUUUGACUUCUGAAACGGCAUAGUUGUUUUUCGUUUUUAAUUGGCUGAUGUAAUAAGUUUAAUAAUAUUAGUUUUUGAAUAAUAAUUCUCCCAACAUUAUGUACUCAUUCAUUUAGAGUGUAACAAAGAUGAUCUACUGAGAUGAACACCAAACGGUUUGUGAUGGAUUACCUCAAAGUUUUAGUCUCGUUUUUAGUCAUACAAUUGACGUGUCUCGUKAAUGGCGACGAACACAAU